rnacentral:rRNA from 1 species
AGAACGCUGGCGGCAUGGAUUAGGCAUGCAAGUCGAACGGAAUGUUGGGGCAACCUGAUAUUUAGUGGCGCAAGGGUGAGGAACACGUGAGUAAUCUGCCCUCGAGUUUGGAAUAGCUCCGGGAAACUGGAAUUAAUACCGGAUGAUAUUGUAUUUUUGCAUGAAGAUACAAUCAAAGCAGCAAUGCGCUUGAGGAGGAGCUCGCGUCCCAUUAGCUAGUUGGUGAGGUAACGGCCCACCAAGGCCAUGAUGGGUAGCUGGUCUGAGAGGACGAUCAGCCACAUUGGGACUGAGAUACUGCCCAGACUCCUACGGGAGGCUGCAGUCGAGAAUUUUGGGCAAUGGACGAAAGUCUGACCCAGCAAUGCCGCGUGCGGGAUGAAGGUCUUCGGAUUGUAAACCGCUGUCAUGGAGGACGAAAGAUGACGGUACUCCAAGAGGAAGCCACGGCUAACUACGUGCCAGCAGCCGCGGUAAUACGUAGGUGGCGAGCGUUGUUCGGAUUUAUUGGGCGUAAAGGGUCCGCAGGUGGUUUGUUAAGUUUGAUGUGAAAUGCCAGAGCUCAACUCUGGAACU